AAGAUUUUGGAAUGGAAUUAGCCAUGGUACCGACUAAACAGGCCUACCAGGCGUUGUUACAGUUCAUCGAACAACUGUCAAUUGACGAGGAAGGAUUGUGGUUUGGACUGGAAUAUAUUUAUACCAUGAAAAGAUAUAGGUGGUUAAAUGGCGAUUUAUUGGUGAGGGGAGACUGGUUUAAACUUCAAGCUGAGGAUAAAGAGUGUGUUACUAUGAAACAUGACAACUACAAAUGGGCUACACAUCAAGCGGAUAGAGAACGUCCUGUUAUUUGUGAAGAUCCUGGCAAAGAACCACAAUUUAUACGUUUUAGUGCCAAUGUAAACUACACUGUAGCACAGCAACUUUGUUCAAAUCACAGCUACCGGUUCCCAGUAAUUCGAGCUGAAUCAGAUAGACUGGCUCUGAUAGAUUUGAUGACAAAUGA